rnacentral:snoRNA from 1 species
ACCUUACAGAGUCCUCACCCCUCAGAUCUAAAUAUUGGUCUGAGUGGCUGAAAAAGGAGGAAAAGUAUAAUUGGAGUGCACUUGGAGUCUGUAAUGGCAUACAAGUUCAUUUCAAACAUUA